rnacentral:rRNA from 1 species
CCUACGGGAGGCAGCAGUGGGGAAUUUUGGACAAUGGGCGAAAGCCUGAUCCAGCAAUGCCGCGUGUGGGAAGAAGGCCUUCGGGUUGUAAACCACUUUUGUACGGAACGAAACGGUUCGCUUUAAUACAGUGGGCUAAUGACGGUACCGUAAGAAUAAGCACCGGCUAACUACGUGCCAGCAGCCGCGGUAAUACGUAGGGUGCGAGCGUUAAUCGGAAUUACUGGGCGUAAAGCGUGCGCAGGCGGUUAUAUAAGACAGUUGUGAAAUCCCCGGGNUCAACCUGGGAAUUGCAUCUGUGACUGUAUAGCUAGAGUACGGUAGAGGGGGAUGGAAUUCCGCGUGUAGCAGUGAAAUGCGUAGAUAUGCGGAGGAACACCGAUGGCGAAGGCAAUCCCCUGGACCUGUACUGACGCUCAUGCACGAAAGCGUGGGGAGCAAACAGGAUUAGAUACCCUGGUAGUCCACGCCCUAAACGAUGUCAACUGGUUGUUGGGUGCAUUAGUACUCAGUAACGAAGCUAACGCGUGAAGUUGACCGCCUGGGGAGUACGGCCGCAAGGUUGAAACUUAAAGGAAUUGACCGGNGNGAGACGUGCGAGGACGACGACGAGGGAGGAG